rnacentral:lncRNA from 1 species
ACUUAUGUUAUUGUGCAUCAGCCCACAUAAUAAAAACUUCUUCCAGUGGUCAAAUGAAUUCCUUGAUCUUACCCUGAAAUUAAAGUCUGAACAUACAGAGAUAUUUUCCUCUUUCCCCCACUUUCUUCUUAAUCUGUUUAGCCACAGUUGGAGGGGCCUCGUUCGAGAAUCUAAGUGGAGUCAAAGUUCUGCUUCACCAAGGCCCACAAAAUGGUGAGUCGGUAGGCUGCACAAACACACAAAAGCCCCCAACAAAUAUUCACAACACCCCAGAACCACACGUGGCUGUGUUUGCAGCUUAUCAGUCAUGUAUCAGUUCCCCCAUUUUCAAACAUAAGUGGCAGGCCCAGACAUAUUCAUUUCUCAUACUCUAGACCGAUGGUUCUCAAAGGAGGUCCCUGGACCAGCAGCAGCAGCAUCUCCAGGGAGCUAGGUAGAAAAUUCUGGGGCUUCGCUCCAGAUCUACUGAUCAGAAAUUCUGGGAUGGGACCCAGAAUCAGUAGAUCUGAUUCAGUAGAUCAGAAAUGGGGCCCAGAUUUGUAACAAGCCCUCCAGGUGAUGCAGAACUCACUCCAAUUUGAGAGCCAGGGCUCACCAGAGGCUCUUUGAUAUAACCAGCUGAAGACCGCUGCAGAGACUGAAUGUUCCAUACAUGAGCAGACAGAGAAAAACCAAACUGAUUUGUGUUUUUACUUGUCUCAGGUAGCAGUAGACUCAUUCCAGUUGUCCAGAGUCCACCCACUUUGAACUUAGAACAAAGAGAACUCUCCAUCCAGAGUUUGGAUAACUCUCCCAUCAAGGUUAACUGACAUUGAGAUCACCAUGUCUUCGCAACAUGAAACAAUGCGCACCAUGCAAAUACUCUUCUUUCUCCCAGAGAAAGCAUGUGAAUGCUUGGGCAACAUUUAGAAAUUGCCGAUGUGGCAUCUCCAGCUGCGAUGCCUGGGCCAUCUGCUGUCACCAUCUCCUGGGAGAGAUGAUCUCGAAGAGAAGAGCCCAGAGAAAGUUCAUCCAAAGGAAGAAAGUUCUUUGUUGCUCCCACCAAAACCUCACUCUUCCCCUAGACUUGGGCUCCUAUCACAGCCUUGGCUUUGAUCCCUGAGAGCCUCUUUCCUGGACAGUACAGUGCGGGGAGAUGGUGCAAGCCCAUUUCGACUUCACACGCAUGUGAAGCUGCCAAUGUGUGCUUCUGUGGGAAGAGCAGUUAAGAGCCGGGGUUCAAAUGCAAGCACUACCAUUUACAAGCUAUGCAUUGAAAAACUAACCUCCCGGGGCUGCAGUUUCCUACUAUGUAAAAUGGAAAUCAAUAUAAAUAUAAAUAUAAAUGUA